rnacentral:rRNA from 1 species
GACGAACGCUGGCGGCGUGCUUAACACAUGCAAGUCGAACGGAAAGGCCCUGCUUCUGCGGGGUGCUCGAGUGGCGAACGGGUGAGUAACAUGUGAGUAACCUGCCCUUGACUUUGGGAUAACUUCAGGAAACUGGGGUUAAUACCGGUUAGUAGCUCUUGCUGCAUGGUGGGGGUUGGAAAGUUUCGGCGGUUGGGGAUGGACUCGCGGAUUAUCAGCUUGUUGGUGGGGUAGUGGCUUACCAAGGCUUUGACGGGUAGCCGGCCUGAGAGGGUGACCGGCCACAUGGGGACUGAGAUACGGGCCGGACUCCUACGGGAGGCAGCAGUAGGGAAUAUUGCACAAUGGGCGGAAGCCUGAUGCAGCAACGCCGCGUGCGGGAUGACGGCCUUCGGGUAGUAAACCGCUUUCGCCUGUGACGAAGCGUGAGUGACGGUAAUGGAUAAAGAAGCACCGGCUAACUACGUG